rnacentral:rRNA from 1 species
CUGCCCAGUGACAAAUGUUCAACGGCCGCGGUAUCCUAACCGUGCAAAGGUAGCAUAAUCAUUUGCCUAUUAAUUGUAGGCUAGAAUGAACGGAUAAACGAAAUAAAACCUGUCUCAAUCAAUAACCUAAAAAUUAACACCUACAUGAAGAGCUGUAGAUAAAAUCGAAGGACAAGAAGACCCUAUAGAGCUUUAUUCUAAGUACAAAUAUAAUUAUACUAAAAUUCGGUUGGGGCGACCAAGGAAAUCAUAAAACAUCCUAUAAAAUAAAGAUUUAUAAAUCUAUAAAAUGAUCCUUACUAAGAUCAUGAAAUCAAGCUACCUUAGGGAUAACAGGCUAAUCCUAUUUAAGAGUUCAUAUCUACAAUAGGGCUUGGCACCUCGAUGUUGGCUUAGGGUAUCAGUAUAGCGCAAAAGUUAUAUAAAGAUGGUUUGUUCAACCAGUAAUACCCU